CGAACGCUGGUGGCAUGCCUAAUACAUGCAAGUCGAACGAGAAAGCACUUCGGUGUGAGUACAGUGGCGCACGGGUGAGUAACGCGUAGGUGAUAUGCCUAUUAGUGGGGGACAACAGUUGGAAACGACUGCUAAUACCGCAUAAGCUUGGUGACAUUGAAAAAACCAAGGAAAGGGGGCUUCGGCUCUCGCUAGUAGAUUGGCCUGCGUAGCAUUAGCUUGUUGGUGGGGUAAUGGCCUACCAAGGCGACGAUGCUUAACUGGUCUGAGAGGAUGAUCAGUCACACUGGAACUGAGACACGGUCCAGACUCCUACGGGAGGCAGCAGUAGGGAAUAUUGCGCAAUGGGGGAAACCCUGACGCAGCAAUGCCACGUGAGUGAGGAAUGCCUUCGGGUUGUAAAGCUCUGUCCUAUAGGAAGAACUGCAUUAUGGUUAAUACCCAUAGUGUUUGACGGUACUAUAGAAGAAAGCACCGGCUAACUCCGUG
rnacentral:rRNA from 1 species